rnacentral:rRNA from 1 species
AUGAACGCUGGCGGCGUGCCUAAUACAUGCAAGUCGAGCGAACGGACGAGAAGCUUGCUUCUCUGAUGUUAGCGGCGGACGGGUGAGUAACACGUGGAUAACCUACCUAUAAGACUGGGAUAACUUCGGGAAACCGGAGCUAAUACCGGAUAAUAUUUUGAACCGCAUGGUUCAAAAGUGAAAGACGGUCUUGCUGUCACUUAUAGAUGGAUCCGCGCUGCAUUAGCUAGUUGGUAAGGUAACGGCUUACCAAGGCAACGAUGCAUAGCCGACCUGAGAGGGUGAUCGGCCACACUGGAACUGAGACACGGUCCAGACUCCUACGGGAGGCAGCAGUAGGGAAUCUUCCGCAAUGGGCGAAAGCCUGACGGAGCAACGCCGCGUGAGUGAUGAAGGUCUUCGGAUCGUAAAACUCUGUUAUUAGGGAAGAACAUAAGUGUAAGUAACUGUGCACAUCUUGACGGUACCUAAUCAGAAAGCCACGGCUAACUACGUG